UAUGUAAUUGUUCCGCAGCCGCGGUAAUACGGAAGGUCCGGGCGUUAUCCGGAUUUAUUGGGUUUAAAGGGAGCGUAGGCCGGAGAUUAAGCGUGUUGUGAAAUGUAGACGCUCAACGUCUGCACUGCAGCGCGAACUGGUUUCCUUGAGUACGCACAAAGUGGGCGGAAUUCGUGGUGUAGCGGUGAAAUGCUUAGAUAUCACGAAGAACUCCGAUUGCGAAGGCAGCUCACUGGAGCGCAACUGACGCUGAAGCUCGAAAGUGCGGGUAUCGAACAGG
rnacentral:rRNA from 1 species